rnacentral:rRNA from 1 species
AGUUUGAUCCUGGCUCAGGACGAACGCUGGCGGCGUGCUUAACACAUGCAAGUCGAACGGAAAGGCCCUUCGGGGUACUCGAGUGGCGAACGGGUGAGUAACACGUGGGUGAUCUGCCCUGCACUUUGGGAUAAGCCUGGGAAACUGGGUCUAAUACCGAAUAUGACCACGCGCUUCAUGGUGUGUGGUGGAAAGCUUUUGCGGUGUGGGAUGGGCCCGCGGCCUAUCAGCUUGUUGGUGGGGUAAUGGCCUACCAAGGCGACGACGGGUAGCCGGCCUGAGAGGGUGACCGGCCACACUGGGACUGAGAUACGGCCCAGACUCCUACGGGAGGCAGCAGUGGGGAAUAUUGCACAAUGGGCGCAAGCCUGAUGCAGCGACGCCGCGUGAGGGAUGACGGCCUUCGGGUUGUAAACCUCUUUCAAUAGGGACGAAGCGCAAGUGACGGUACCUAUAGAAGAAGGACCGGCCAACUACGUGCCAGCAGCCGCGGUAAUAC